AGGACGAACGCUGGCGGCGUGCUUAACACAUGCAAGUCGAGCGGAAAGGCCCUUCGGGGUACUCGAGCGGCGAACGGGUGAGUAACACGUGAGCAACCUGCCCUUAGCUCCGGGAUAGCUCCGGGAAACCGGAAUUAAAUACCGGAUACAACCACGGCCGACAUCUGCUGUGGUGGAAAGGAUUCCGGCUAAGGAUGGGCUCGCGGCCUAUCAGCUAGUUGGUGGAGUAACGGCCCACCAAGGCGACGACGGGUA
rnacentral:rRNA from 1 species